UGGCCCAUCUCCAGCUUGGACUGCCAGAGGAAAUGUCCGCGUUUUUCAGUGCACAAAACCAUUAUCCGAAUAUUGAAUACUGAAUUUCACUUAACUGAAAGGCUUGAAAAUAGGUCAGAAACAGACCAACAGGGGACGCCGUUUGCCAUUGCAGCCUCAAGUCACGUUAUUACUCGUCUUCCGCUACAUGCUCGCGCUAAACUAAUUUACAGGUUUAAACGACGUAGGUUGACGAUCAUCUUCAUCAUCAUUAUUAAGAAACUCUGUCCAUCCAGAAAUCCUGGUGUUUCCUGGAGGACAUACCCUCACUCCAUCCAGAAUGAAUCCGCUACACCUGUGUGUGAAAAGGUCACCUGACCACCCGUUGGCGAGUCAAGACCGAUCCCGCUGCCACACCAGAUUAUAGACAGGUGGAGAGAGACAGAGAGACAUAAUGGGGGCACUAAACAGAAAGUGCUCAAGAUACCUAACCUUGCAACAAGCGUUUUGUCACAUCUGACAAACAGAAACUCCCAAGACAACUCUUUUAGCUUUCAUUCACAGCGGCAAGGAUCGCUUACAAAUGUUCUGCCAUAUUAUGAUGGAGGGUGGUAAGGGUUUGUGGAUAAAGAUGUAGGCUGGAGACAAGAAGGCUGUAGGUUUGGAGCCCACAAAAGACAAUUCAUCACCACAGAGAUUUUACACUUUAUGCUGAAUAUCUUCUUUUAUCUGGUAACAAGUUUUAAUACCUGACUGUGAACAAUUGGUGUUUGAAUUUUGUUGAUGAGUUAGUUGAAAGGUCCAUGGUUUUGUGAUUAUUUAUCUUCUUGUUGAUUUCAGGCAUACAGAAAAUGUUUAGGAAAUCUUCUGCAGAGAUAUUAACUUUUUUAUUUCUUAUUUUUAAAUUAAAUACAUAAAAAGUUUUUUCAUGAUUUCCUAAAUUGAUUCCAAUUCACAAGCUCACCAUUUGAUUUGGUUUUCAGUUUAAUUUAAUUUGAAUUCAUUUUGCCAUAUUUGUGACCAUUGAAAAUUAAUGUCUCAGAUUAUACAGGGAACAGUUUAAUUGUGUACAUAAAAAAAAGAAGCAGUUUUAAAAUGAAUACCACGGCUUAAACAAUACAAUUCAAUUGCUAUUUAUCUACUGAAUUGCUAUUAAUAUACAAAAUAAUUGCUAUUUAUUUACUGAAAUUUAUUGAAUCAUUCAUUACAAGGACCAUUUCAAAAGAGUCAGUUGUUUGUGAAUUGAACUGCAUGUUGAUAACUCACUACAAAAUACUAGGUUAAAAGACUUAUUUGUUUGUUAAUCAGACACAGAUUGCACUGCAUAUGUUUGACUAAAAAGAACUGGUUCAUAAGAGUCAGUAGUUUAUGAAUCUGACCACACGGGCUGCUCUAUAUGUUAUUGAGUGCAGCCUGAAAAAAUGUGUUUUAUUGCAAUUAAUUCACAUAACACAGCCUGUUUAUCUUCUCACAUUCUAUCUGAACCUCCAACUCAAGUAAAAUAUGACCUGUUUUGCUUUGGGGUUCUAGAUUCAACAGAGGGGUAGAUUUGGAAGAAUCAUAGAAGAUCAUUCAAAUGAAGAAGGUGUAUUUUACUCAGCUCAAAUGUUAAAAACAGAUGGAAACAGUGGGGCUGCCCUUGUAUUAAGUCUACUGUAAGUUUCAAAGAGCGUCCUCUUCCUCUUUUAACCAGUUCACUAAAUGUUGUACACAGUGCCAAUGUUAUAAACAUUUAAAAUGCUAUCAGGAAGAUAACUGUACCAUCCCACAUCAAUCUCUAAUGACGCACAAUAAACAGGAAAUGAAUUGGAAAAAUUAGCUUUUUAAUGAAGGUCUGUUUUGAACUAAUAACUAUCUGACUCCACCUGAGGCGGGGUGGGGGAGCGUUAUGGCAAACUUACUGAGGCAUUGUUGUAUUUCAUAAUUGCAACAUAAUUAGUAUGCAAUUGUGUUUUUUUUUUGUUUUUUUUUUGUGAAUAAUAGAUACUAUUUGAAGCAUAUUGCUGUAUCAUAGGGUGUAAUUUCUUUUUAAUUACAAUACAGUGAUUGCAUGUCAGACAAAAUCAUAUUGUUGAUUCAUGGCAGGAGUUGAUUUUCUUGAGCAGAACCAUGCUGACGGCAACCCUCUGACACAAAUGCACACGUUUAGACAUGUACACUUGCUCAAUGCAUGUUUUAAAUGUACAUGAGAUUGAUUUUGUAAGUACAGGCCGCUAGUAGAUUGCCAUAUGUUAAUGGCAUUUUUUUAGGUCAACCAGUUUUCACUGAGGGAUUUACACACAUUAAACACACUCUCAGAUGUUAAAGUCAUCAUGGCAUUGAUUGUAAGCUAGAGAAAUCCCCCAUCAUGCACCUCUCCUGCACCUUUUCAUUUCCUGGAAACACUAUCCAAUCUGCCUCUCAAAACCGCAAAGCAGAGGAUCCUGGGAAAAUAAAGGACCACUGAAAGCAACUGAGUGAGCUGAUUCAUCUUUAAUUACUUGUUUUCUUGUUCUUCCAUGUGAAUGCCAAAAUCAGAUAUUCUGUAAAUGUUGUAAAAGUAUUGCUGUUGAUAGCCUGUUUUUGGACUGUUUUUCAAACUAUCACUUAUAAGGUCAUGGCUUCUCGUGGUGAUAUGAGAAACCACUCGCUUUCCUUUUGUCAUUUAUACUGACGGAUACUUCCAGCUUCUUUCCACCAAUUCCUUUCUGUUUGCCUUUCAUUGUGUCCCUUGGAUAAAUAUCAUCCUCCCUAUUUUUUUGUUUUUUCUAUCUCUCACCUUUCGUUAUUGUCUUGCCCACUCUGAACACUUUUGCCAAAAUCUAUAUUCUACAACGCUAACCAUGCCUACACGUUUCUCUGUGUGAAACCUGUGUAUAAAUGUCCUCCAAUAAUAAAUCAUUCAAAUAUUUGUGUUUGUGCUUAUGUAAAUUUAGGAUAAAAUUUAGCACUGCUAAAAGCAAAACAAUCAUGAUCUCUGUUGGUG
ensembl:lncRNA